UCUAGCCUGGUUGGCAGAGUGAAACUCCAUUUCUAAAAGUAAAACAAAAAUAAAUAAUGGGAAUAAUACCUUAGGUUCAUAGAGACAAAGGAAAUGGCUCAUUUGUCUCUUCAUGAAAUUGACUCAUUUGUCUGCAAGAAGAACACCUGGAAAGAAAAAGCAAGAAGUGAAAGAAAAUUAUCCCCUCACUAUAUAAUUGCCUCAGUUUUCAUUUCCUGAUUAACAGAAAACAUGCCUCAGAGACUGAUCUAUUUUCUCAUCUUGAACAUUCUUCCUCCCUUCUUUUUGCAUUCACCUCUCAAAUCCACCCUUUUCUCCACAUUUCCCAGGAGUUUCAAGUCCAGGAGACUAGAAUUUCAGGAUGCGGACCUGUAUGCAGAGAAUGAGGAUUUGACCUGACAGUCCCUCUGGAGAAAACUGAGCUCUCAAAUCUCAGCAGUGGGAUGGCGUGGAGAGACAAGUGGCAUGGCACAUGAAUAUAGUCAGGAGAUUUUGCUACUUCUCCGAAGAGCUGGGCUUCAACCAACACCACCAUCUAAAGCUUACGGAAGGUCCUAUCCAUCAGCAUGUUACCCCACACAACUUUUCUGAAUGGCGAAUGGGUAAGCUGUAUUGGAUAUGUCUUCUGACGUCUUCUCAGAUUUCUUUGGCCUUGACUGUGGCUGUAGCCAACCAGCUCCACCCAGUCCCACUGCCCAGGCCCUUCUCUCUGGCUGCUGUUGUAUAACCAGAGUGACUAGCUGGUGGAUGCACUCUCUGGCUCCUCCUGCCACUUCCACACUUGGAUAAAAUACUAUGCAACAGGAUAUGUAAUCUGGCUUCUGAAUGGCCACCAAAGGGUCUGACUUACAUGACCCAGAAGCAUAAGGGUUAAGCCCCUGUGGAGCAACCAUUGGGAAACAGGAUAUGGGAAGUUCAUGAGGAUAAUUCCCUCACCUACCUCCUUUGGUGGAUUUCUCUUAGGCGUGGUUUCUCCAUACACCCUGUCCAAACACUUGGCACAUGGUCAAGUGUGCACUCCUGCCAAGCAACCUGCAGUGUCUUUUGAGGCUCAUUAUAAAGUACAAAACUCCAUCUCAAAAAAAAAUAAAGUAGAGGCCAGAGUAGAAACCCACCACCAUGCAUUACUUCUAGUUUUCCUUGCCUCAAUUCUCUUUUUUCCCAAUCUUGUUAUUCUGAGUUAACACCCGCCAAAUAAAGCAUCAGCACUUAAUCCUUGCUUCAGACACUAUUUUUAGGGCAGUGGUUCUCAAAUUUUACAUCCCCUAGGGGGCUCAUUACAAUGCAGAUUCUGAUUCAGUGAGUCAGGAGUGAGGCCUAAGCUUCUAUAUUUCUAAUAAGCUGUCCCUGAUGCUGCUAGUUGAGGACCCCACUUUGAGAAGCAAGUUUCAGGGAACCUGGGU